rnacentral:rRNA from 1 species
AGGUGCUGCACGGCUGUCGUCAGCUCGUGUCGUGAGAUGUUGGGUUAAGUCCCGCAACGAGCGCAACCCUCGUCACUAGUUACUAACAGUUAGGCUGAGGACUCUAGUGAGACUGCCUUCGUAAGGAGGAGGAAGGUGAGGACGACGUCAAGUCAUCAUGGCCCUUACGGCUAGGGCAACACACGUGCUACAAUGGUUAGGACAGUGAGAAGCGAUACCGCGAGGUGGAGCCAAUCUAUAAACCUAAUCUCAGUUCGGAUUGAAGUCUGCAACUCGACUUCAUGAAGCUGGAAUCGCUAGUAAUCGUAGAUCAGCAAUGCUACGGUGAAUACGUUCCCGGGUCUUGUACUCACCGCCCGUCACACCAUGGGAGUUGAUUUCGCUCGAAGCCGGAAUACUAAAUUAGUUACCGUCCACAGCGGAAUUAGCGACUGGGGUGAAGUCGUAACAAGGUA